UUUUAGAAAACUUGGCUUUUUAUUACAGAUAGUUUCAGACUUUCUGCAUGGUUUCUACCUGCAAGUUGAAUUUCGGCUUGAUGAAUAAGUGCAUCUUCAGCUGUAAAAGAUAUAAACAAAUUGCACUCCAGAAUGGUCAAACCAAUUUUCAAUCUCUUCUGCAGUGUGUGAGUUUCCUUUUCCAACAGUUGCAUUAUCAGACCUUUAAAUCUUUCUCAAUAUGAUAGCUGUGAAAUAACAUUUUAUUUUAAUGAGCAAUUAUCUGAUUAAAUAGUGAGGUUGAAUAUUUAUUUAUAUGCUAAUUACAUUCCCAGUUACCUGACUUUAACAAGGCAGGUUUUCCAGUUUGCAAGUAUGGAGAAAACAUGUCUUUAAAAAUCUAGCUAUAGCAGGUAAAGUAUCAUAACAGGUAAAACUGGUUUUUAAGAAGAAAAACCUAGGAACAGCUAGCUUUGACUUGAUGAAGGACAGGAAAAACCAGUUGUAGCAAAUGAGUGCAUGGACAGAUACUUUAGAGUAUACAUGUCUUUUCCGGUAUUUCAGUUUUGGGACAAUCCUUCCAUCACCAUUAUGACAUUUCGGUGGAGCAAUUUUCAUUAAGAAUUUUGUACUUGUUUUCCAGUUUUGAUCAUUGAUGAUUUUCUGGUGCUAAUGAGAUCAAGGACAGAGAGGUAUCUGCACCCAAGGACCCACACCCAAGGAGUAGCACCAGAGGGAAUACAUUCGAAGAGCCUUAUCUGGAUUUGCCAACAUGAUUUAGAUGAUCAGAUACUGGACUUUGAGCUGGUGCCAUAAUGGGAUGAGGCUUUGGGAGUCUAAAGGGAGAUAAGUGUAAGUGUAUUUCACCGGUGAAGAAUGUAAAACAUAAAAGGCCAGAACAUGAACUCUGUAGCUAAUCUCCAAAGAUGGCUCUCAGUGAACCACACCUCAUGGAAUUCAUGUCCUUGCAUAGUCCCCUCCAGCACUGAAUCUGGGUUAACUUUGUGACUUUCUCUAACUAUCAGAAUGUGACAGAAGUAACAAUAUGAUACAUCCCUCCAUUUAGUUAGAUUCUCUUUAAUUUCUCCCAAUAAUGUUUUGUAGUUUUCUGUGUAGAGGUCUUGCACAUUUUUUAGAUUGAUUCUUUGACAUGUGACUUUUCUAUGCUGUUGAUAAAUGAUAUUUUGUUAAAAUUUUUGUUUUCUAAUUGCUUGUUACUAGCAUAUAAAAACUUAAUUACAUAUGGAAACUAA